GAGAGUUAUACUUUAAUUAAUCUUAUAAACUCAUUGACUGUUAGGUCUAUUGAAUCGUCGUUUGGACACGGGUUCGAUUCCCGUAUGCUCCACUAUGUUCGUUCGACUCGAACCAGUGGCAGCUCCUGUGAUGGGUAACUCUUCCUCAUGUGUGAAAUAACACAAAUGGCAACUGAGCUGCAAUCGGGGCAUUAUGGUUUUGACAGCGACAUAGAGGAAAUAGAAUAGGUCAAUAAGCAGAUAACUGGCAAUAUAAGUUAUGUAACAGAUUACACUCGCUUAGUAGCGUGAUAAUCUGAACGGCUCGCCAUUGUCGUAAAAGGCUGGAGUAAGUAGUUUCAUAAGGCUUAGAAACGCUAACACUGAUAAAGUUAGAAGAGGG
rnacentral:tmRNA from 1 species